rnacentral:lncRNA from 1 species
UAAAAACUAUCUUCGAUGAAGGUUUAUGCUGCCACAAUCGAGCCUUUAACAAAACAAACCAUUUCUUUUGACUGGUGCAGGCCAGUGAUCGAGGGUGCCAAACGUUUUGAUAUUCAUACUCAGGUAAUGUUCACCAGUUCAAACAAUUUUCAAAGAGGAACAAACCUCAUUUUCUUUCCCGGGGAAAGAGGGAGCGAAAAUUGGCAGCGCAUGCAAAGUUCAGAGUCAAGGGUUGGAUCUUCCCUUUCAAUUGAUCCGAGGUCCAGUUUGAAGUUCAAAAUCGAGCUUUUGAUUUCUCUUCCCUACUUCCUACACCACACCCAUCCUCAUCCAGAGCAAUGACGUGUCCACUGUUUCAACCGGAUAUCUAGUGUUCAAUAAUUCAAUUAAUAUCAUAAUCACAAUUAAUAUCCACUCGAAUUUACAAUCACUGAGCAGCAAUUAGUCAAUAAGUUGUAGGACCUUAACAUUACAUCAUUUACUACUAGAAAUUAAGAAAAGUUAUGCAGACUUCUCAUUCCAAGCCAAAUUUCACCACAUCCUGCCUACUGUGUCCACACUACCUCCAUAUCGCCCUCCCAACCCCCAAUACCCAAUGGGAAAAUAACAAAAAGAAUCAAAAUAACAAGGAGUGAAUUAUCCAAAUGGUCAAUGAAUUUUGUAAAAGAUUUCCAGGGAAUCAUUAAACUUUAAAAAUCAUAUAAUUCAUCACUGAAUUUUGCAAAAAAUUUCCACGAGGUCACUGAACUUUAAAAAAAUCACCUAAUUCAUCACUCCCGAUAAACCUUUUGCAAAGUUCAAUGACCCUGUGAAAUUUUUUUGCAAAGUUCAGUGGUAAAUGUGGUGAUUUUUAAAGUUCAGCGACCCUGUGAAAACCCUUUGCAAAAUUC